AUGGCCAACGUUGUCCUCAAUUUCAACGCGUUCCUAGAGAAAACCAAGCUGAAAGAUGAUGGCAGCAACUAUACGGACUGGGUCCGAAACCUGAGGCUCAUCCUCAUAGUAGCCAAGAAAGAUUAUGUCUUAGAAGCACCGCUAGGUGAUGCACCAAUCCCACAGAACCAAGACGUUAUGAACGCUUGGCAAUCACGUGCUGAUGAUUACUCCCUCGUUCAGUGCGGCAUGCUUUAUAGCUUAGAACCGGGUCUCCAAAAGCAUUUUGAGAAACAUGGAGCAUAUGAGAUGUUCGAGGAGCUGAAACUGGUUUUUCAAGCUCAUGCCCGGGUCGAGAGAUAUGAUGUCUCCGACAAGUUCUUCAGCGGUAAAAUGGAGGAGAACAGUUCUGUUAGUGAGCACAUACUCAGAAUGUCUGGGUUGCACAACCGCUUGUCUCAGCUGGGAGUUAAUCUCCCGGAUGACGCGGUCAUUGACAAAAUCCUCCGGUCACUUCCACCAAGCUACAAGAGCUUAGUGAUGAACUACAAUAUGCAGGGGAUGGAAAAGACCAUUCCCGAGGUAUAUUCAAUGCUGAAAUCAGCGGAAGGGGAGAUCAGAAAAGAACAUCAAGUGUUGAUGGUGAAUAAAACCACUAAGUUCAAGAAGGGCAAGGGUAAGAAGAACUUCAAGAAGGACGGCAAGUGA
rnacentral:rRNA from 1 species